UGUCUGACAGCAAACACUAGUGUGGAGCGGCUGUUACGGGCAGUGUACCGCCCACACAACGUGUACUGCAUCCACCCCGACAACAAGUCCAGCGACGACUUCCACUCCAGUCUGCGCUUCAUCGCCGGUUGUCUUCCCAACGUCAACAUCGUCGAGCGCCCCCUGAGUGUGGAGUGGGGCAAAUACUCCGUCUUACAGGCGGAUGUAGAAUGCAUGCGGUUGCUAUGGAAACACCCUCGCAAGUGGCGAUACUUUAUCAACUUAACAGGUCAAGAGUUUCCCCUGAAGACCAACAAGAGAUCGUUCGCAUUCUUCAGACUUUCAAUGG